UACGAAGGGGGCUAGCGUUGCUCGGAAUUACUGGGCGUAAAGCGCACGUAGGCGGAUCUUUAAGUCAGGGGUGAAAUCCUGGAGCUCAACUCCAGAACUGCCUUUGAUACUGAGGACCUUGAGUUCGGGAGAGGUGAGUGGAACUGCGAGUGUAGAGGUGAAAUUCGUAGAUAUUCGCAAGAACACCAGUGGCGAAGGCGGCUCACUGGCCCGAUACUGACGCUGAGGUGCGAAAGCGUGGGGAGCAAACA
rnacentral:rRNA from 1 species